rnacentral:rRNA from 1 species
AUUGAACGCUGGCGGCAGGCCUAACACAUGCAAGUCGAGCGAGCGGCGGACGGGUGAGUAAUGUCUGGGAAACUGCCUGAUGGAGGGGGAUAACUACUGGAAACGGUAGCUAAUACCGCAUACCAUCGGAUGUGCCCAGAUGGGAUUAGCUAGUAGGUGGGGUAAAGGCUCACCUAGGCGACGAUCCCUAGCUGGUCUGAGAGGAUGACCAGCAAAACUGGAACGGGGACACGGCCCAGACCCCUACGGGGGGCAGCAGUGGGGAAUAUUGAACAAGGGGGGCAAGCCGGAUGAAGCCAGGCCGGGUGUAUGAAGAAGGCCUUCGGGUUGUAAAGUACUUUCAGCGGGGAGGCGUGACCCGCAGAAGAAGCACCGGCUAACUCCGUGCCAGCAGCCGCGGUAUAC